rnacentral:rRNA from 1 species
UACGUAGGGUGCGAGCGUUGUCCGGAAUUAUUGGGCGUAAAGGGCUCGUAGGCGGUUUGUCGCGUCGGGAGUGAAAACCUCGGGCUUAACUCGGGGCUUGCUUUCGAUACGGGCAGACUAGAGGUAUGCAGGGGAGAACGGAAUUCCUGGUGUAGCGGUGAAAUGCGCAGAUAUCAGGAGGAGCACCGGUGGCGAAGGCGGUUCUCUGGGCAUUACCUGACGCUGAGGAGCGAAAGUGUGGGGAGCGAACAGG